GCUGAUUUCAAGGGGGACACCCAAAAAAUUAUGUCUAUCUGACAACUUCAUCAUAUCUUUACAUAUACUUGCAUUUUAAUAAUAAAACUUCACUACCAAGACUCCAAAAGUACUGUGAUGUGGUAGAAAUUUUAAAUUCGAAUCUUGAAAAUGAAAAAAUAGAGAAAAACUAUAGUGUUUGGUAUGAAGGAAAAUGUUUCAUGAAAAAUAUUUUACUUGAAAAAUAAGUAGGUUUCUUGCUUAUAUUCUAGUGAAUGAUAAGUAAGCAAAAACAUAUUAUUCGAAGAGCAUUUAUAUAUUAUCUAGCAAAAUACUAUGAGGUGAAUUGAGGUAGGGAGGGUGGCGGGAGUUCGGAUGGUGAAUGGAUGGGAUUUGAGGAAGUUCGGUAGGUGGGGAAGAGACGAAUGAUAAUGAAUUUUGACUAUAACUUACGGAAUUUGUUUUCUUUACUUUCAUUAGUAAAGUCAUUUUCCUCACUAAACUUGUUUUUCGAGAGAACGUUUUCCAAAAUAUUUUGACCAACCAAACACGAGAAAAUUGGACAAAGACACCCUAAUAUUCAACUGAUUUUCCUCUUGUCUCUUACCUUGCAUAACCCCCAACAGCUCACCAGCACAAUAAACAGUGGAAAGUGUAGAAAAGUAGGUUAGUCAUACCUGCUAGCUGCUAACCUUCUGUCAGUUUUUGUCAUCAUAUAAGAGAGAAACAUAUAUCUGAAUCUUAAUGUUUGCUUUAACCUGCAUGCACAUGCAAAGACAGUGGUGAAAGGAUCAUUUUCUGCAUUAUAUAGUCCAUUGAUCCAGUUAUUACAUGUGUACCUGAAGGUAAAUCAGAACAAAAAGAGCCAAAAGGGUAUCUUCUUACAGCCUAAUAAUGACUAAAGGGGAGAAAGAACAGAAGAUAUUUCAUCAUUUUGAGUAGAAUUAUUAUGAAAGAUAUCAAGGGGAUCCAAAUCCAUAAAAGCUCAAGACUUUGUCUUUACUCUCAAGCUUUUAAGUGUAAAAAAAGAACCCCACAAGGUGUAAAUAAAGCUUUUGGUAAAUUCCCUGAUUUGUGGUCAAUUUGAAACAAAAGAUAGAGAGAGACACUCUGAAAUGCUAAAGUAGAGUGGAGAAAGCACAUUACAUUAUUCACUUGCACUACUGUUUCAGCAGCAGAGUCUUCAACCAGAACUCAGAUUUGAACUGCAAUGGUCACAUAAGCCUAUGAGCAAAAGCACCAACGAACC
rnacentral:lncRNA from 1 species